GACGAACGCUGGCGGCGUGCCUAAUACAUGCAAGUCGAACGCUUCUUUCCUCCCGAGUGCUUGCACUCAAUUGGAAAGAGGAGUGGCGGACGGGUGAGUAACACGUGGGUAACCUACCCAUCAGAGGGGGAUAACACUUGGGAACAGGUGCUAAUACCGCAUAACAGUUUAUGCCGCAUGGCAUAAGAGUGAAAGGCGCUUUCGGGUGUCGUUGAUGGAUGGACCCGCGGUGCAUUAGCUAGUUGGUGAGGUAACGGCUCACCAAGGCCACGAUGCAUAGCCGACCUGAGAGGGUGAUCGGCCACACUGGGACUGAGACACGGCCCAGACUCCUACGGGAGGCAGCAGUAGGGAAUCUUCGGCAAUGGACGAAAGUCUGACCGAGCAACGCCGCGUGAGUGAAGAAGGUUUUCGGAUCGUAAAACUCUGUUGUUAGAGAAGAACAAGGACGUUAGUAACUGAACGUCCCCUGACGGUAUCUAACCAGAAAGCCACGGCUAACUACGUG
rnacentral:rRNA from 1 species